GAUGAAGAACGCAGCGAAAUGCGAUAAGUAAUGUGAAUUGCAGAAUUCAGUGAAUCAUCGAAUCUUUGAACGCACAUUGCGCCCGCCAGCAUUCUGGCGGGCAUGCCUGUUCGAGCGUCAUUUCAACCCUCGAGCCCCCCCGGGGGCCUCGGUGUUGGGGGACGGCACACCAGCCGCCCCCGAAAUGCAGUGGCGACCCCGCCGCAGCCUCCCCUGCGUAGUAGCACACACCUCGCACCGGAGCGCGGAGGCGGUCACGCCGUAAAACGCCCAACUUUCUUAGAGUUUACCUCGGAUCAGGUAGGAAUACCCGCUGAACUUAAGCAUAUCAAUAAGCGGAGGA
rnacentral:misc_RNA from 1 species